UAGAUACCCUGGUAGUCCACGCCGUAAACGAUGAGUGCUAGGUGUUAGGGGGGAGCACCCCUUAGUGCUGAAGUCAACACAUUAAGCACUCCGCCUGGGGAGUACGACCGCAAGGUUGAAACUCAAAGGAAUUGACGGGGGCCCGCACAAGCAGUGGAGCAUGUGGUUUAAUUCGAAGCAACGCGAAGAACCUUACCAGGUCUUGACAUCCCUCUGAUGGGUUCAGAGAUGGACCGUUCCUUCGGGACAG
rnacentral:rRNA from 1 species